GCAAACAUUGCCACUUCGGAAUUUCUGAUGGAAAGAAGUUUAUUGAUGUAACAAAAGGACCUGGGAGUCAGCUUAAGCAAGGAAAUCGAGCAGGAUGAGGAAACAGCAAGAAAGUAGUUACCAGAUCAGCCAUCUCACUGAAUGGAGAGACAGACGACUUGUGGUGGUGUAACAGGAGGGUCACCAUACCUCAGGCUAGGGGAGAGGUUGAGAAGGCGGAAUCUUCACGGUGAGCAUGGCUGGUGUAGGAAUCGAAUCCACAGUGUUGGUGUCACUGUAUCACAAACUGACUGUCCAGCCAACUGAACUACAGGCCACCUUAUGGAACGUUAAAUUCACUCAGCACAAAGUGCUGAUUCACACCAUUUAUGUACUUGUUAAGAAAAUAUAUAUCAGGAAUUCAUUACCAAUAUGGACUGACAGGGCAUGUAAUGUCGAGCCAGGAGUGUGGGGCAGGGGACAGUAACUGGUCUGGGGGGCCAGGGAAGCAGUGAGCACAUCGUUCUCAGUGAGAAUAGCAAUCACCACCAUACUUCCUUUUCUUUGUCUUGUGCUAUUCACCCAGAAGCCCACAAAUAAUGACUUUUUGUUAAGCAGAUGGCAUCUCUGAGAAGCAUCUGUUCAUGUUUGGAGGAAUGGAUGGUGAAGACUGGUGGGACAAAUUAAUUACUGACUCAAAAAUCUAAUUAAUCAAGCUAAGGAACUUUUUGGAUAAAUGAUAUUAGGAUAGAAAGAACAUUUUGCAAUUUUGUACAAGACAUCACUGGAGAUUGAACGUGUCAUUAGAAAAACAGAUAGUGUGUUUUUCAAACAGUGGCCUGCAUUGUCCAUGCUGCCUCUCUCCAGGAACAACUUACUGAGGGCCACUCCCUUGCUUUUCUUUAUAACCCUGCAUACCCCCGCCUUUUUUAGAUAAUCAAAUCCCUUUGCAAAGCCUCAAGUGGACCUGCCUUCCCCACAUUCUCAGGAAUUGUAUCUCAAACCCAAAUUACUUGCCGAGGAGGAAAUGUUUCCUGUGUGUUGCUUUUUUUUUGACAAUUGCUUUCAAUCUGUGCUACCUGAUCCUCAACCCUUCCACUAAUGUAAACAGCUAUCCCGGUUUACACUGCCCAGACCCCUUGUGAUUUUGAAUACCUCAAUCAAAUCUAGGAACUUAAUCUGAACAUAGCUCCUGGAUGAUCAAUGCUGUUAUUUGAUGACAUGCCUUGGGCAACUUUACCUUCCAUUUCACCUUCGAAAGUUAUUAUCAUUAAUCAGAAUAAUAAUAAGUUACAGGUCACAUUCUCUUCAUGUCUGAUUGGAUUUCCUCAGGAUGCUCUGGUUUCCCCCUCCAGUUAAAUGAUGUGCAGGUUAGAUGGAUUGGGCAUGGAUUAGAAAGUAUGAUAACUGGCUGUAGCUGAUGGGCAAUCUCACACUGUUGAUCUUUGCUUUAGAAAAUCACUUUGUUAAAUAUGAUCAUUUUCAGAUCAGUACAACUAAUCCAAAAACAAAUCAGGAUCCCACCAGCAUUGUAAUUCUUCAAUAUUUACUGGAGCUCACUCAUCACUGUCUGAAUUAAACGCACCAGGAAAAACAGAAAUUGGAACAACGUGACUACAGUUGCAUUCAUAGAGUAGAAUCCCUACAGUGGGGAGGCAGGCCAUUCAGCCGAUCGAGUCAACACCGGCCCUCCAAAGACAUCCCACCCUGAUCCACCUCACUACCCUAUCUUUGUAACCUUGCAUUUCUUAUGGCUGACCCACCUAACCUGCACAUCCCUGAACACUAUGGGCAAUUUA